GAGGCUGUCACAAAAUACAUGAGAUAGAUUACAGCUUGUCUUUUGAGCAUACGGUUAAACCAUCCUAACUCUACCAAGGACGUUACAAUAUUCUAGGACUCUAUCUCUCGGAGCUGGAUAGACUCGUGCACCUUAUCCUUGCCUUGCGUCAUACCUCAACCAGGUUGCCGUGCGUUAGCUUGAGUAGUCCUGUACCAACACGUUUUGCUUAACAGCCCCUCUCAAUCUUAACCCGGUUUCUUAACCAUGUUAAGAUUGUGUCUGAACAUCUUAAAUUUCUGUGUAGCAAGUGCUUUUGUAAAACCAUCUGCUAGUUGAUCUUCUGAGGGUAUAAACCGAAUCUCCAACUGUUUCUUUGUAACCCUUUCUCACACAAAGUGAAAAUCAAUCUCAAUAUGCUUAGCUCUUGCAUGGAACACUGGAUUUGCUGAGAGAUAUGUUGCUCCAAGGUUAUCACACCAUAGAUGAGGAAUUUGAUAUUUUACUCCCAAUUCUCUUAGCAACGUCUCUACCCAAAUUAAUUCAGCAGUAGCAUUAGCAAGAGAUUUGUACUCAGCUUCUGUACUAGAUCUUGACACUGUAGGCUGUUUCCUGGCACUCCAAGAAAUCAGGUUCGGCCCAAAAAAGACAGCAAACCCUCCUGUCGACCGACGAUCAUCAACGCAUCCUGCCCAGUCUGCAUCAGAGAAUGCACUGACCAUAACUGAGUCUGAUGCUUUAAUACUCAACCCCAUACUGAUCGUUCCUUUAACAUAUCUUAAGAUCCUCUUUGCUGCACUCCAAUGAGUUGUUGUUGGCGCAUGCAGGAACUAACAAACUUUGUUUAUAGCAAAUGCUAUAUCUGGCCGAGUCAGAGUCAAAUAUUGCAACGCCCCUACUAUGCUUCGGUACCGAGUUGAGUCACCCGGCAACAGAAGUUCUCCAUCUUCCCUUGACAUCCUUUCAGCUUAGGACAAAGGAGUUGGUGAUUCUUUGCAAUUCAACAUACCAACUCUCGUCAAAAUAUCUCUUGCAUAUUUUUCUUGACACAAUUGAAUACCUCCUUGCAUCGGCUGAACUUCUAUACCAAGAAAAUAGUUUAGACUUCCGAGAUCUUUAAGGGCAAACUCCUCUUUCAAAUCCUUUAGUAACGCUGCCACAGCCUCAGACGAUGAGCUGGUUACAAUGAUAUCGUCCACAUAUAUAAGCAUGAAGAUUGUGACACCUCCUUUUGAGUAGAUAAAUAGCGAAGUAUCUGAUUUUGAAGCCUUAAAGCCAAGAUCACACAAUUUUGAACUGAGCCGAGCAUACCAGGCUCGAGGAGCUUGUUUCAAGCCAUAUAACGCCUUGUCUAGUCUGCACACAAAAUCAGGACACUUUGCAUCCUCAAAACCUGGCGGCUGUCUCAUAUACACCUCUUCUUCAAGAAUGCCAUGUAAGAACGCAUUCUGAACGUCCAACUGUCGUAGACACCAUCCUCUUGCAACAGCUAUAGAUAGAACCAAACGAACAGUAGCAAUUUUUACGACAGGACUGAAAGUAUCCUCAUAAUCAAUCCCAUACCUUUGCUUAAAUCCCUUCGCGACUAGACGAGCCUUGUAUCUAUCAAUGCUUCCAUCAGAUUUCCUUUUCACCUUGUAGACCCAUUUGCAAUCAAUAAGAUUUACACCUGGCUUAGGUGAAACUAAAUGCCACGUCUUAUUUCGAUGCAACGCAUCAAUUUCCUCCUUCAUAGCUUGAGUCCAACGUGAAUCACCAAGUGCCUCAGCCAAGGAGUCAGGUUCUCCUGUGGAGCAGAAACCCGUAUAGCGAAUUGUGCCAUCCGUAUAUGUCUUUGGUUUAAAAAUACCAUGCUAGGACCUCGUCAUCACACGUUGCUGCUGCUGUGCACCGGGAACCGCAGAAGAUCUGGCCUGGUCAGCUACCGCAGAGUUCGUAGAACAUCCGUCCGAGCUUCCCCCUGUUGCUGGCGCGCUGUCCGGGGUGGAUCCGCUCGACGCCAAUUGCUGGCUACCAGCGCUCUCGCCAAACAGAGGCGAGGCAGGAGACGCGCCUGGCGUGUACGGUGGAGAAUCGGCCUGAGAGUCUGAAGCGGCCGGAAACGGAUAUGAGUGCAUCUGAGUUUCUGUGCCACAUUGUCUGGCAGCUGGAAUUUGCAAGCUUACGCCUGGAAACAAGCCUAACGCAUCUGUUUCAUCCCUGCGUGCUUCCUGUGCAUCAUCAACACUAGAAAAAUUGUUAUGAGGGUUAGAUAAUACCAAAUCAUUACUAUUUGCUCCCCCAAAAUUAGGACGAAGGUGUGAAGGAAGGAGUAGGAUCUCUUGGUGAAGUCUCGCCUCGGCAUUAUCAUGGAGAGCUUCAAAAGGAAAUACUUCUUCAUCGAAUACGACAUUUCGAGAAAUAUACACUCGCCCUGUCGAAAUAUCUAGGCACUUGUAACCUUUGUGGCGUGAACUAUAACCAAGAAAAGAACAUCUGACAGAGCGGAAAGCGAGCUUUUUAGCAUUAAAAGGUCUAAGAUUCGGCCAGCAGGCACACCCGAAUACUCGAAGAAAGGAAUAGUUGGGUUUUUCAUGACACAUUAGCUCAAGAGGGGAUUGAUAAUUGGUGACCUUGCUGGGGAGGCGGUUGAUGAGAUAGGUGGCAGUGAGGAAAGCCUCAUCCCAAAACUUCAGAGGCAUGGAAGCUUUAGCAAGAAGAGCUAACCCAACUUCUACUAUAUGACGAUGUUUGCUUUCAGCGGCUCCAUUCUGUUGAUGUGCAUGAGGACAAGAAACACGAUGAGUUAUCCCAGUCUUUUGAAAGAAGGAAUUUAGCUUUUCAUACUCACCUCCCCAGUCUGUUUGCAUAGAAAGAAUUUUCUUAUCAAAUUGUCUCUCAACUAGUCUUUGGAAAUCCAGAAAUACAUCGAACACAUCUGAUUUGUUUUUAAGAAGAUAAAUCCAGGUGUAGCGACUGAAAUCAUCAAUAAAACUGACAUAGUAGGUAAACCUCCCAACAGAUGUGGGCGCCGGCCCCCACACAUCAGAGUGGAUCAAAGCAAGAGGAGCAGAAGCUGAAUUUUCAGACAUAGAAUAAGGUAACUGAUGACUUUUAGCUCUUUGACAUGAAUCACACACUGACUCGAUAGUAUUAUUGCUAACAAAAGGUAGAUUAUGAGCUCUAAGAACACGAGAAACUAUAGGAAAAGCAGGAUGUCCUAGACGACUAUGCCACCGUUCUGUCGUCAGUCUGCUCACGGCUAGGACUUCUUUAUUGGGGAUGCCACCUGACUUGUAUGGCACCAAAGGAUAGAGACCCCCUUCACAUCUUCCUCGAUGAAGAAUUUUCCUCGUUGCUCGAUCCUUGAUAAGGAAAAAGUUGGGAUGAAAUUCAAAAAGAACAUUGUUGUCAAGUGCAAGGCGAUGAAUGGAAGCAAGGUUUUUAUGUGAGCUUGGAACAUGUAGAAUAUUUCUUAAGAAAAGAUCGCGGAAAGGGGUUUGCAAAAUAGAAUGACCGAUAUUAUUAAUCCUCAUACCUUGGCCGCUUGCCGAAUAUACUUGAUCUCGACCGCCGUAUUUUUCUUGCAUAGUUAACUUCUCCAGAUUCGAGGUAAUGUGAUCUGAGGCUCCACUAUCAGCAUACCAGUUUGUAUCAAUCCCAUAGGCUGCAGCAGGACCGGAGUUGGACGUCUUGUUGCUGUUUGCUUGAUUAUCAUCAUCAUACCUGUACCAGCACUCCCUUGCUGUAUGAUUUGGCCGGUCACAUAUCUGGCACUUUGGCUUGUUGUUUCCCUGGCCCUGGCCGCCACUCCUGAAUGCUUGGCGACUAUCAUCAGCACCAUAAUUUCUGCCGCCUCGACUUGCUCCACGGCCACGGCCAAAAUUCCCUCGGCCACGUGGGUUGUAAUUACCCCCACGGCCUCGCGAUGCAGCAUUUGCAGACGAGCUGUACUGACCACCAGAAUUAUUACGCAACAUCUCCAGCCUUGUUUCAUACGCCAUCACCUGAGCAUACAACUCGCUCGAGGGAAUUGGAUCAGUACGGCCCAUGACAGAAGUAACAAUGGGAUUAUACUCACUAUCCAAACCAGCAAGGAUGAAGGAUAUCAUCUCGUCAUCUUCGACUUUUCUACCAGCACCGGCGAGCUCGUCGGCGAUCGCUUUCAUCUUGUUGAAGUAAACUGAAGUCGUCAUACUUCCCUUCUUGAGAGUUGACAACUGCAUUCGUAGAUGCGUUACUCUUGCUCUGGAUUGGGCGGAGAACAUGUUCUCCAGUGCCGCCCAAACUUUUGCAGAUGAGGAGAGAGUUGCUACCUGUCCAAGCACAUCUUUUGUGACUGAAUUGAACAGAAAAGCAAGGAUCUGCUGGUCUUGCGCCAGCCACGAGGAGUACGCCGGAUUGCUAACAAUUUCCUUGGACUUGUCUUCCUUGACGAUCUCCAGAAACUCAGAUGGGGCUUUGACGGAUCCCUCCAGAAUUCCGAUCAGCUGCGCCCCCCUGAUAGGUGGGAGAACUUGCGCCUUCCACAAGACGUAAUUAUCUCUAGUAAGCUUCUCGGUGACUUGGGGGCCAAGUGGCGCCAAUGCUGUCGCCGAGGAGGAGGAUGUCGCCAUGACAGUCGACGCUUCUUAGAUGAAGAUGGCUCUGAUUACCAUGAAAAAUAUGUAGAACAAUUUGGUAAACGUGGUUAGCAAACUCGCAUCCCACGAUUCCGUGUUUAUAUAGUGCUGGAGGCUGUCACAAAAUACAUGAGAUAGAUUACAGCUUGUCUUUUGAGCAUACGGUUAAACCAUCCUAACUCUACCAAGGACGUUACAAUAUUCUAGGACUCUAUCUCUCGGAGCUGGAUAGACUCGUGCACCUUAUCCUUGCCUUGCGUCAUACCUCAACCAGGUUGCCGUGCGUUACGCUUGAGUAGUCCUGUACCAACACGUUUUGCUUAACAG
rnacentral:lncRNA from 1 species